AAAACGUCAAAAUGGAGAAGGAGCUGCUCAGAAAAGAGAACGCUGGACUACAAGGAGAGCUGAACAAGGUCACAAGAGAGAGGGAUGAACGACAAGAACAGCUGAGGAAAGCUGAAGAGACCAUCCAAUCCCUCUUCACCUCUCCAGGAGGUCAACAGGAAACACAGACUCCUUCCCAAAAGUAGGGAUGAAGAUGGACUCUUUUCCUGCUCCUGAGAUGGAGAAUGAAGGAUGAUCUGGAGAAGUUGUGGGUGGAAGUUGAGUUUCUAUAGAGCUGAGUUACUAUAGAGAGUCUAUAACUAUAUGCUAUAGGGUUACUAUAGAGAGACUAUAACUACAUGCUAUAGGGUUACUAUAGAGAGACUAUAACUAUAGAGCUGAGUUACUAUAGAGAGACUAUAACUAUAGAGCUGAGUUACUAUAGAGAGACUAUAACUAUAGAGCUGAGUUACUAUAGAGAGACUAUAACUAUAGAGACUAUAACUAUAGAGAGACUAUAACUAUAGAGCUGAGUUACUAUAGAGAGACUAUAACUACAUGCUAUAGGGUUACUAUAGAGAGACUAACUUUCUAUAGAGACCUGUCCCACCUAACAAAGCUGAGUUUCUGAGUAUAUAACUGAGUGAUAUGAAUCUUGGUAAGACAAAGUUAUCUGAUAAACGUGUUAGUCAGUUCUCUAUAAUCCACUUCCAGUAGUUAGUUCUUUACUUUUUGAAGUUUUACUACCCAUGUCUGUAUUAUGGGUUUAUAUCCAUUUCCUGGUUAUUCUAUAGAACACUAUACAACACUAUACCACUAUAAUACUAUAGAACACUAGAACACUAUACAACACUAUAACACUAUAGAACACUAGUUUCACUACCCAUGUUUGUAUUAUGGGUUUAUAUCCAUUUCCUGGUUAUUCUAUACAGUAUUUACGAUGACAUCAUCCACAGACUUCUGGAGCUGUUGGUUAAAAGGCAGAGAUCCUCAAAGAGCAGUACCAGAUCAUCAGGUAUAUAUGUGGUUUCCAUGGUUUCCAUGUUUGGUGCCAUUCCAUUGGCUCCGUUCCAGCCGUUAUAAUGAGCAGACUUCUGGAGCUGUUGGUUAAAAGCCCUUAAAAGGCAAAGAACCUCAAAGAACAAAGAAGGACUUUAUGUUUGUGCUUUUUGUCUGCUCUGCCCCCAG